GCAGACACAUUCCAGCCAAUCAGCAGCAGACCCUCCCUCCCAGACCCUCCCACCUCCUGGACAGCUCACUAAGAAUGCAGCUUCACAAUGAAUGUAAAAUGGAUGCUGUCCAGGAGGUGGGAGGGUCUCGGAGGGAGGGUCUGCUGCUGAUUGGCUGGAAUGUGUCUG